rnacentral:rRNA from 1 species
GACGAACGCUGGCGGCGUGCUUAGCACAUGCAAGUCGAACGGAAAGGCCCUGCUUUUGUGGGGUGCUCGAGUGGCGAACGGGUGAGUAACACGUGAGUAACCUGCCCUUGACUUUGGGAUAACUUCAGGAAACUGGGGCUAAUACCGGAUAGGAGCUCCUGCUGCAUGGUGGGGGUUGGAAAGUUUCGGCGGUUGGGGAUGGACUCGCGGCUUAUCAGCUUGUUGGUGGGGUAGUGGCUUACCAAGGCUUUGACGGGUAGCCGGCCUGGGAGGGUGACCGGCCACAUUGGGACUGAGAUACGGCCCAGAGUCCUACGGGAGGCAGCAGUGGGGAAUAUUGCACAAUGGGCGGAAGCCUGAUGCAGCAACGCCGCGUGCGGGAUGACGGCCUUCGGGUUGUAAACCGCUUUCGCCUGUGACGAAGCGUGAGUGACGGUAAUGGGUAAAGAAGCACCGGCUAACUACGUG